UCACUUCAGCUUCCUCGAACUUCAGCCGCACCUUUUCCUCUUAGCCUCGGUUCUACGAGGUAACGUCGAGUUGAAUCAAUGAAACCCAUUACCUCUUCUUAAAUGACUCUUUCCUCCGAUAAAUUUCACAAAUUCUAUUUUCAGAAUUGAAGGAAGGUCAUUGCAGAGAAAAGGGGUAAGUUCAUGGGUGUUGACAUGGUUCUGAUUGACGGGAAGGUUAUCUGAUUCUCUUUAAUCUCUUGAGCAUCCAAAAAUUCAGAUUCGCUGAUGCCACUGUUUCAGUCAGAUUCAUAGAGCAAACAGGUUUCAUAAUUUCGACCAGCUAUUGUCACAGGCUAACACAAACACUGAAUUGCCAAUAACAUUGGGGGAGGUGCGGGGCAUAAGGACCACUUAGACCGAGGAACCCAAUCCACUCGACGCCUCAUGGCUGAAGCCUGAACUCAUUACUUGCUUCACAUAGAUCCCCUUAGCGGUUUGGUUGUUGUCGUCUGACACUGACCUUACGUCGUUUACAUGACAUCUAGCUUACAUCUUCAGGGACGGACCCGCAUGCAUAAGUGUAUUCGGCAACCUUGCGGAGCUCCUCGAUGAGGAAUUAGUAAUGUCAGGUGUGGAACCAAAGGUUGCUGUAGCCACCAAUAUCAACCCUAAAUUAGUUGGAGAGUUGGUCACCACAAGGUUGGUCUCGGUAGGAAGGUUCCUCCUCAACGUCUACAAAAUAUGGUGGUGUUAUGAAGAUCGAAACGUUAACACUGUCUGAGCUAAAUGCUUAUAUCACAUCUCCCCACAGGUGACCACUUUCACGUAACCCAUCUGUUAGUGUGUUUUUUGACCAACAGUUACUUUCACUUUCGUUGGUGCCUUAUCUAAAGUGUCCCUGAGAAAAAGAGCAAACGAGGAAAGAAAGCUUUCUUUUACAUGGUAUCUCACCAGAAUCAAUCUUGUUUGGACCGUGAGUAUCUCCAAACACAGAAUGUAUUGCAAUGAGGAAAGCAAGAUGAUCGUUGUGUAUGAGUAUAUGAAAAAGGGAAUGCUUAAAGACCAUCUGUAUGACUCGGAUAAUCCUAGGUUGAGCUGGAGACAGAAGCUUUAGAUAUGCGCUAAAGGGCUUCACUAUCUCCAUACAGGUUCCGCAAGAGCCAUUGUACGCUGCGUGUGAAGUAUGCUUCAGGUAAACAAUUAGGACCAACUCUUCUUCUAUAGAACCUGUUGAAGGAGCUUUACUCUUUACACAAUGUUAUAAUCUCUCUACCGGCCAUUGAAGCUCUCGACCCGAACCACAAACUGGUAGUUUACUAGAAUCACAAGAAGCAAACUCAAUUUGAAUAGAAAGACAACUUCAUAUCAUCAAACUGAUCCGUGGUUUGAGCAAACUUGAUGUAACAAAAGCUCCAAGAGCAACUCCGAGACAACAAGAGUGACUACGUUUUGGAUAGAUAGAGAACAUUUGUUUCUUUCAUUUCUUUUUUCUUGCAUUCAUCCAGAGUCUUUUGUUCUUUUUAUUAUCAUCAAAAUUUUCAGUAAACAAAUAACCUACCUUAGCGUUAUAAACGUAUAACUAGGAACAAUAAAUGUUGAUUCUUUCGCUAA